rnacentral:rRNA from 1 species
AAUGGGCGAAAGCCUGACGCAGCCAUGCCGCGUGAGCGAAGAAGGCCUUCGGGUCGUAAAGCUCUGUCCGAGGGGACGAAGGCGCAGGUUACAACAUGACCUGUGAUUGACGGUACCCUCGAAGAAAGCACCGGCUAACUCCGUGCCAGCAGCCGCGGUAAUACGGAGGGUGCGAGCGUUGUUCGGAAUUACUGGGCGUAAAGCGCGUGUAGGCGGCCUCGUAAGUCGGGUGUGAAAGCCCUGGGCUCAACCCAGGAAAUGCGCUCGAUACUGCAAGGCUAGAGUUCGGGAGAGGGGUGUGGAAUUCCUGGUGUAGAGGUGAAAUUCGUAGAGAUCAGGAGGAACACUCGCGGCGAAGGCGACACCCUGGACCGUAACUGACGCUGAGACGCGAAAGCGUGGGGAGCAAACAGGAUU